CCUCAAGUGGUCAGGAUGAUUAUUGGGCCUAAAGCAUCCGUAGCCGGCGCUAUAAGUUUUCGGUUAAAUCUGUACGCUCAACGUACAGGCUGCCGGGAAUACUGUAGCGCUAGGGAGUGGGAGAGGUAGACGGUACUCGGUAGGAAGGGGUAAAAUCCUUUGAUCUAUUGAUGACCACCUGUGGCGAAGGCGGUCUACCAGAACACGUCCGACGGUGAGGGAUGAAAGCUGGGGGAGCAAACCGGAUUAGAUACCCGGGUAGUCCCAGCUGUAAACUAUGCAAACUCAGUGAUGCAUUGGCUUGUGGCCAAUGCAGUGCUGCAGGGAAGCCGUUAAGUUUGCCGCCUGGGAAGUACGUACGCAAGUAUGAAACUUAAAGGAAUUGGCGGGGGAGCACCACAAGGGGUGAAGC
rnacentral:rRNA from 1 species